UGGGGAAUAUUGCACAAUGGGCGAAAGCCUGAUGCAGCAACGCCGCGUGAGUGAUGAAGGCCUUCGGGUUGUAAAGCUCUAUCUUCUGGGACGAUAAUGACGGUACCAGAGGAGGAAGCCACGGCUAACUACGUGCCAGCAGCCGCGGUAAUACGUAGGUGGCAAGCGUUGUCCGGAUUUACUGGGCGUAAAGGAUGCGUAGGCGGAUACUUAAGUCAGAUGUGAAAAUCCCGGGCUUAACUUGGGAACUGCAUUUGAAACUGGGUAUCUAGAGUGCGGGAGAGGAAAGUGGAAUUCCUAGUGUAGCGGUGAAAUGCGUAGAGAUUAGGAAGAACACCAGUGGCGAAGGCGACUUUCUGGACCGUAACUGACGCUGAGGCAUGAAAGCGUGGGGAGCAAACA
rnacentral:rRNA from 1 species